AUGUUUAUUCUCCAACAUGUAAUGGGAAUUUUAUUCGAUUGUAUCUAUGUUUUGAAGAUUUAUUCAAGAUUUUACUCGGUUUAUGGAUUGUUUGCUAAGAUGAAUUUCCAACAUCAGAAGUGUUUUUUGUAUUCUAUGUUGAAAAUGGAUCUACAUUACCAAGAAAUGUGGAGAAGUGUAGUUAUUUGUUUUGUUAGGGAUGCAUUGGUAUCUACCUUUAUAUUCAGGUGUUAA